rnacentral:lncRNA from 1 species
AUUUUCGAAAUUAUUUGGUAAAAUAAUUAUUAGUGGAUUAAUUUUGAAACAUGUUUUGUAAAAUGGGUCUGGCAUGUUUAAAUUUCAUUUGAAUAUUUUGUUAUAUGCUCUGAAAUCCGUAAAAUAUGAUUAGACAAUUUAUGAAAUUUAUAUUUGUAUAUAUGUAUUCUCAGCAUGGCUAUGAUCUGUUCUGUUCUGUUCUGGCCCCGCCAAUGGGGAUUAUACGUUGGCCCUGUCGACUUGUAAUCUGUGAGGAACCGGUUUCGACACCGUACCAUCGGUGAUUAGAAUAGUGGUAUUUGGAUACCGUACCACCGGUGUUUAAUAAUAGUGGUGUUUGGCACCUUGUGCAACCCAUGCCACUGGGUUACGUGGCCGUAGCCUAUCAUGUUGAGAUUCUGGUAUCAGAGUUUUUGAAAAAAUGAUAAUAAGUUUUGAAAAUAGUAAAACAAUGUUAUUUAUGAUUUAUUUUAUUAUCCUGUAUUUGAUCUGAUAUGCUCUGACCCCACUUUGGGGUAUUUUGUUGCUUAUUGGGCUAGUGUAGCUCAUUAUUUUAUUUUCUUUAUUUUUCAGAUCCAGAGGCUUGAUCGCACGGGAUUGGGGAGUGCGUUAGAUUUUCGGAUGAUUCUUCAGUUAUUGGCAUUUUAGUUAGUUUAGUUUGGACAUUUGAAUUAUGUUGGCAUAUGUUAUUUUGAAAUUUUGUAAGUUCGCUUUUGAACAAUUUAAAUAAUUAUGUCAUUUUUGAAUAGCUGUAUCUGCUUUGAUUUGAUCCUGCUGCCUUGCACGCCUGUGCGGCCCGCCGUGUGGGCGUGCGGCGUCUGCCGCGCCUCGGGCUCGGGG